CAGAGGGGGACAACAGUUGGAAACGACUGCUAAUACCGCAUAAAAUAACGGAAUCGCAUGAUUCUGUUAUCAAAGGAGAAAUCCGCUGAAAGAUGGGCUCGCGUCUGAUUAGAUAGUUGGUGAGGUAACGGCCCACCAAGUCGACGAUCAGUAGCCGGACUGAGAGGUUGAACGGCCACAUUGGGACUGAGGCACGGCCCAGACUCCUACGGGAGGCAGCAGUGGGGGAUAUUGGACAAUGGGGGAAACCCUGAUCCAGCGAUACCGCGUGAGGGAAGAAGGUUUUCGGAUUGUAAACCUCUGUGGACAGGGACGAUAAUGACGGUACCUGUCAAGAAAGCCACGGCUAACUACGUGCCAGCAGCCGCGGUAAUACGUAGGUGGCGAGCGUUGUCCGGAAUUACUGGGUGUAAAGGGAGUGUAGGCGGGAAGGCAAGUCAGAAGUGAAAAUUAUGGGCUCAACCCAUAACCUGCUUUUGAAACUGUUUUUCUUGAGUGAAGCAGAGGCAAGCGGAAUUCCUAGUGUAGCGGUGAAAUGCGUAGAUAUUAGGAGGAACACCAGUGGCGAAGGCGGCUUGCUGGGCUUUUACUGACGCUGAGGCUCGAAAGCGUGGGGAGCAAACAGGAUUAGAUACCCUGGUAGUCCACGCCGUAAACGAUGAUUACUAGGUGUGGGGGGAUGAACCCUUCCGUGCCGGAGU
rnacentral:rRNA from 1 species